AUGGAUCCUUUUAAACCCUCGAGAGGGUUGAGCCAGGGGAACCCGAUUUCUCCAUACUUAUUUUUACUGGCGGCAGAGGGACUAUCGUGCUUGCUUAAAGCACAUGAUGGCAUCCAGGGUGUGGCAGUGGCAACUUCAGCCCCUCCAGUGAACCACUUGUUAUUUGCUAAUGAUAGCCUCCUUUUCUUUGAGGCCACCGUUGAAGGCGCCACUCGAGUCCAAGAUAUUCUGAGGAAAUAUUGUGAUGUGUCUGGACAAAGGAUCAAUGCUCACAAGUCCUCUGUUUUCUUUAGCAAGGGAAUGAGUGAGAAUACUCACAAUGAAAUAAAAAAUGUACUGCACGUACAGAAUGAAGCGCUUACGGAAAAAUACUUGGGCCUACCUUUUGACGUGGGAAAAUCAAAAGAAGGCCGCUUCAAGUACUUGAAAGACAGAAUUUGGAAACGUGUG
rnacentral:rRNA from 1 species